UGGAGUCGGUGGCGCACCUGUCGGCGGAGAUGUGGCAGGAGUUGGCAUGCUUACCGGAGCGCAUGAGCAGCCACCAGCUGUUAGAUCUCAUCUUCUGCUUCCCUCUGCAGCAGUUGGGUCGCCUGGCUUUCUGCCUCUGGACCUUCCUCUGCGUCCCUCCGCCCGACUCCUACUACUACUACUCUUCCUCCGACUCCGAUGACUCGUCCACCACCGUCGAUCACGAUGACUAUUACUACGAUCCCCACUCUGAUUGAUCCCCUUCUGCUUCUUCGAUUGUCUUCUCCUUCACCGGCUCCCCUCUACAGAAGAUGCAGGAUGGAAGAUAGAUUCUUCGAUAAACUCUUUCGUUACAAUGCAUUGUACAGUUUGUCUGGGAGGGGGACAGAUAUAAUUGAGGAGCAGGCAUAACUUUGUGGUAGUUAGAUUACUGGUUGCUGGUGGAUGAAAAGGAAAAUUACUUUCUGAAUACAAUUAAGUUGAGAUCCCAUUCCUGUGUUUAUAUGAAAGCUUCAAACAGUCUUAGAUCCUUUGAGGUGUUGAUUUCUUUGGAUCUAAUUUUACGUGGAAGCAUCGAUAUUUGAUCCUACGCUGGUGAUGUUGUAUUUACAAAUUAUACGAAAAUACCGGAUGAUAUAGUUAAAUAAUUAGUAACGCUCAACCUUGUACAGCA